rnacentral:misc_RNA from 1 species
CAUAAAUUGAAACUAAAAAUUAUAACACUCUCGCACUCUUGAUUCUCAGACCAUGAGAGUGAACAUACUCGUUACACACAAUUUAAUUGGUUUGCCGACUAACAGUCUAUAAAAGGAAAUCUUGGGGUUCUUUAUUGCAGUAUAUUGCAUUAAUUAUAAAUAUUGAAUUAGCAAACUGAAUUACGCUACACUAUAUAUUACAGAAUAUACUACCAAAAAGCAGAAAAUAUGCUAUUAAGACUACCAAAAAAAAAUGAAAUUUUUGCCUCAAUUAAGCAAAAUCUAG